rnacentral:rRNA from 1 species
ACUCCUACGGGAGGCAGCAGUGGGAAUAUUGGACAAUGGGGGAAACCCUGAUGCAGCCAUGCCGCGUGUGUGAAGAAGGCCUUCGGGUUGUAAAGCACUUUCAGCGAGGAGGAAAGGGUGUGUGUUAAUACCAUACAUCUGUGACGUUAGCAACAGAAGAAGCACCGGCUAACUCCGUGCCAGCAGCCGCGGUAAUACGGAGGGUGCGAGCGUUAAUCGGAAUUACUGGGCGUAAAGCGCGUGUAGGUGGCUUGUUAAGCCAGAUGUGAAAGCCCCGGGCUCAACCUGGGAACUGCAUUUGGAACUGGCAGGCUAGAGUUUUGUAGAGGGUGGUAGAAUUUCAGGUGUAGCGGUGAAAUGCGUAGAGAUCUGAAGGAAUACCGGUGGCGAAGGCGACCACCUGGCCAAUAACUGACACUGAGACGCGAAGGCGUGGGUAGCAAACGGGAUUAGAUACCCUGGUAGGCUCUG